GACCUGUCACAACGGCUUCCUGACGUGACAGGAUAAACCGAAUGGAGCG
rfam:Sedimentitalea nanhaiensis strain CGMCC 1.10959 genome assembly, contig: Ga0079838_101